ensembl:lncRNA ARRDC1-AS1 ARRDC1 antisense RNA 1
CGCGUUGGAGCUCGACCGGUGCGGCGCCUGCGCACUGGAACCAGGCGUGCGGCGCCCCAGGCGCCGGGCCUGCGGCGGCCGGAACCGGAACGCGCGCCCGCGGGGUAGGAGACCUGGAGCUGGAGAACCCGCCCGCCAGAGUCGUAGUAGUGGAUGGGGAGUAGCCGUCCCAUUUUCAACACAUGUCUCAUUCUAAAUUGACGUUUUGGUGGGCUGGCCGAAGAAGGAGAAAGACCCGCGGCUCCGACCUCUGACCUCUAACCCCGGACGCACUUUGAUUUCGCCGGCUUGCGCGGAAGGCUGACUCCCUGGGCCGCGGCCUGGCGCGGGAGCCGCCUGUGGGGUGUCCCCGGCGCGGGAGGGUGCUCUGGUUCAGGCAGGUUCCCGUUGCGGCGGGGUUCCCUCGGUUGGGAGGAAUGCCCCUGCCGAGGGUAUGCUCCGGCUGGAGGGGGUGUCCCUAACGGCGGGAAUACCUGGACUGGCUGGGGUGUCCCACUGGGGAGGGUUUCCCGGUGGGGAGGUGUCUGGCGGGGGAGCGGCUCCGGCUAAGCAUGGGUGUUCUGCUAGGAGGAUGUGUCUGGCUGGGGGCGGUGUCCCAAUCGGGAGGGUUGCCCUGAUGGGGGAGGUUCUACAGUUGUGGAGAUGCCAACCUGGGGGGCGCUCCGGUUGGGGGGUGUGCCCUCUCUGGUUACCCCGCUCUCGCUGCCACUCAUAGGCCCGCUGCCCAGGUAUGCACAAGUCAAGGCCUUUUCUGCAGACCAAGUAGCCUUCCCUGGAGAGCGCCCCCAGCACCACGGAAACUACCUACAUGCCCCGCGGUGGUCAGCCCGCCUUAUCCCAGCCCCGAGACCCAAAACAAGAAGCAUGGACUGAAUUUGAGGUUUCUGGAUGGUCGUGUGAACCGAGGGGACGGGUACUGGACUGACAAGAAAUGAGCCUUGAAGGUCAAUCUGGGUGACACCCGAGUCUCCUGAUGGAGUUUCACUAUGUUGCCCAGGCUGAUCUGGAACUCCUGACCUCAAGCAAUCCACCUGCCUCAGCCUCCCAAAGUACUGGGAUUACAGGAGGGAGCCACCGUGCCCGGCCUGGUCCUGUGCAUUUUAUAGAUAAGGUAACUGACAAACCUAGCCACAGUCACCCCUUCGCCCUAAAGGAGAACUGGAAUUUGAACCCAGAGCCUUCUUCACCACCAUCUCCGUUGUUUCUGGAAGCACCCUCCAGGCAGGCCAGCCAGCAUCACGGGGCCUCCCCUGGGGCUGGAACGUCUGCAGGAUGCCCCUUUGAGAAAUGCUGUUCCACAGAACCCUGCCUUUCAGGCCUUGGAGACGUGGGCAGGGGAGAAGCAGCGUCCCUCAGAGCCAGGCCUGGCAGUGGUGCUAGCAGGGGCCAAGGCCCAGGGAGCAGGGUCUCCUGUCGGAGGGACCUGGGCAAGCCCCUCCACGCGCCAGCGGGUUUCUCAGCAGGGGAGGUCCACACCACACCGCUUGGGAACCUGGGUGCCUAAACGCAACAGGAGCCAAGGCACAAAUUUAACCAAACACCAAGGUUGCGUGAGGCCCCAUUUCAUGAGCCGGGCUCCAAGGACGUGUCCUUAGGCGGCUCUGGAAGGCCCAGCGCCAGCCCCCGUCCUCUGUUAAAGGGAGCCAGCCCCGCGGCUCCGCCCAGGCAUGGUAGCCUGAGCGCGCCCCCAGGGUAGUAGGGGGCACCUGAGGAGCAGGGUCUGCCCUGGCAUGAGCAGAGCCCAGGAUGGGGUCAGGGUCAGGCCCUGCCAGAGGCUGGAGGGUGCCCAAGGCGAGGCCGGUGAGGCCCAGCUCUACAAAUAAAGUGUUUUAUUUACAGGA